rnacentral:rRNA from 1 species
UACGUAGGGCGCAAGCGUUGUCCGGAAUUAUUGGGCGUAAAGAGCUCGUAGGCGGCUUGUCACGUCGGAUGUGAAAGCCCGGGGCUUAACCCCGGGUCUGCAUUCGAUACGGGCUAGCUAGAGUGUGGUAGGGGAGAUCGGAAUUCCUGGUGUAGCGGUGAAAUGCACAGAUAUCAGGAGGAACACCGGUGGCGAAGGCGGAUCUCUGGGCCAUUACUGACGCUGAGGAGCGAAAGCGUGGGGAGCGAACAGG